rnacentral:ncRNA from 1 species
UAACAUUAAGCGGCCAAAGCCCAUGCAAAUGGGUGAGAUGAUGCGAAGAGCGUUUGUGUAUAUCCGGGGGAGUGGCCUAUAGGAAUGCCGCCAACCUUCAUUCCCCCGGUUUGCUAGG